rnacentral:lncRNA from 1 species
UGGGAGAGUGUUUGUGUGUAUGUAUAUCUGAGUGUAUUUUUAAAGGUUUUCUUUGAACUGCCUUUGUGCUGACCAGGCUCAAGCAGUUGUCAAUGCUAGUCACGGUUUGAGCAACUUUGAGUUAACCUCUUAUAUCGAAUGAAUCUUUUCAUUUAGAGUCCAAUAAAUCUCUAUCGCUAGUUACCUUUUGUAGAAGCAAGCCUGGGCUCACCGUACAUGCAACACUGCACCCGAACUACAACGGUGAGUAAGCGAAAUGUGUAUGUAUAUUACCAACCUAAACGAGGGGUUGUCGAAAUAAAAGUUGAAGAAAACUGCACUGGAGUUGAAGAAAACUGCACUGGAGUUCAGCAUUCCACCCACAGCAGUGUAGAAGUUUCCCUUUGUCCUGGUUGAUCACCCUGGGGCACAUUGGAAUAUACAGCCCAGGAAGCUUCCAAGACAUUUGCCUGUGUCAACAGAGUAUGAAAUCCAUUCAUGAGGUUGAUUGCUGUGUUCAAGCAGUAAUGACAAUAACCGUGUAAGUGUGAUAUUUCACAGAAUUAUACUCGAACUCUUUAUACGUUCAAAAAUUUUUUUAUUGGUAAGGCAAAGACUAAACAUUGUUAUAUGAAACAGACUCAGCGCAUGAUAGCUAACCAGAAAUACUGACUACAGGUACUGAAAAUUAAACCUGGCUGAAUCAAGAAUGGAUUUUCUGUCAUGAAAACAAGACGCAAAGUAAUCUGUAGUGAAAUGUUCCUGGGUUUUUUUUUAGUAUGCGUUUGACAGGAAACAUAUGUGUGAAUCUUUAUUUCAUAAACUAAAGCUGCACAAUCACAUGUAAUACAAAUAAUAUUUGUAUUUAGCUAAUAUGUAUUACAUCCCCAUCCAUGACUACUAUCUGAAUUUAUUUGAAAUAUGCUAGCCCAUGAAUAGAACUAUAGAUUGUGUUUCAACCAAAAAGGCACGAGUAUAUGAAACAUUUCUAAAUCUUCACACAUAUGAAAGGUUUGGUCAGUUCUUACCCACUAAGGGCACAUGGUUUUCACUCCAUCUUAUCUUUUAAUUACCUAAUUAAACAUAUAGUUUGAUUAAUCUGACCAAUUCAACUCUUUUUCUAGGUUCUUCUGCGGGUGUUAGAAUAAUGACUACAUAAAAAAACGUUAGAUGGUGACCUAAACACCCCUCCUCUGGAACUUUUGAAACACGUUGGAGAUCGUCUUCGUCAAGACGAAUUGUUCUGUGCACUUCUACAACACGAUUGGUACUGUGGUGGCAACUGUAAGCAGCUGAAAUAGUGUUCCGUGAUGCUGUUGUCCCUGGAUGAGAGUAAAGGAGACUCACAAAUGCCAGCUCCUUGGUGGAGGAGCAGGUUAACUGGGGGAGAGAGGGAGGGCUGAUGAAGAUCUGGGACAACUGGAUGGUUCUGCUAGAGCGCAGGGCUGGGGUCUGCCUCCCACAAGGGGUCUGCCAAAGAGGGCUCCCUGAGACCACUGUCACUGUCUGAGAGGAGAACCCGAGUCCAUCUGAGCUCUCCUCUCCCACACAUUGCUUGCCACAUUAAAAACUGGUGUGAUGUGUCUGCUUUUUUAAAAACAACAUUCAGGCAGCUUGUAUUUUUCAACAAUCCCACAAACACAACAGUAUUAUGAUGGCAUUGUGAAGUGCUGUCAGAUUUCACAUGGAAAUAUACUGGAAAAUAGGCAUCAUAGACAGUAAAAUGAUUUUAUUCAGUUGAACCAGUAAUGAUGCAAACACAAUAGAUGAGUAUAAAUGAUACUAAAUGGAUGAAUAUUAUGCUGUUCAUCUACAACAUUACAUAUGCUCUUUCACAUUCCAUUCAUGAUCAUUUUAGUGAAAAAUGUUUUAGAAGAUGCCCCAAUAUUUCUUGUAAACCUACAAAAUAUUUCAGGUGGAACACACACUUCUAAUGAAGUGAACUAUUUUUAAAAUUUAAUUCAUAAAGAACUCCAUUGUAAAUGAGGAUGCACUUGAAAACCAACCAGAAUUAGUAUGCACUCAUUCAGGGGAAAAUACUACUUCAUUUGAUUGAUUUUUUUUCAUGAGAACACCUUAUUAAUUAGCUAUCUUAUUUCCUGGUAAAUACAAGGAAAGAUCACUGAAGCAGCAAGAAGAUAUCAUUAGAAAUUAGUGUUAAUUUAAAACACGUUAACGCUGUGGAAACUAAAAAAAGAUAUAUAAAGAUUUUUUAUUCAGCCAUAAACAAUUGCAUAAUUGAUCCAUUCAUAAAUAAUUAGGAAACACAGACACUUAUUUUAAAACUAUCCGUGAGUAAACUGCCUAUGAGGAUUUGAUCCCCAUUAUUUUGCAACCCUCAUUCAUACUUUAUGGCUGUGCAUCUCUGAAGUCAUAAAACAGUGAAUAUGCAUCUGUACUCUACGUGUCGCAACAGGUUCUUUGUUCUGGCUAUUUCAUUCCCUUGAUGUCACUGAGACCCAUCCAAAAGUUCUCAGGCACAAACAUUCACAUGUACCGCGAUAUUUCAUACAGUAAAUCAUAACCAAUGAUGUCUUGUGUGAGGGAAAAGAAGGAAGGCCGGGUGAAACUCAGGGAUUAACGGUGGCCCAAUAGGAUUCUCCACUGGUGCAGAAACAAGAGAUGGGCUUGCUCAGCUCACUGUGCUACGUAACAUGAAGAAAAACACAAAAACAGAAGAGACAUCUCUCCAGCGCAUGCUUGUCAGCAGCCGGCCUGAAAGACUGAUAUAUUUCACCAAUGAAAUUGUGUGAAAACUUCAAUGCGCUGUAUGAGUGCUGUUUGCAGUGAUGUGAAAUGAUUAAAACAAUAAAGAAGGUAACACAUCCUAUAGGCUUGCACUGUAUUGUCUUACAAAGGGUUGGGGCCUGUCAGGAAGGAAUAGGGAGUCCCAGCGAUGCACUGCAGGAUGUCUGCGCAAACUCUUUAUUAGAUAAAUAAUCAGACAAGGCGGCCCUCCAGGUUUGCCUACAGGGACCUUUAGUCACUGUUUCAUAUUGACUUGAACCAUGGUAGCAAUGGCCAGACCUCAGGAAUCUUGGAUGCCAGCCAAGCAAGUCUUGAAUCCAGCCAAAAUCAACACCUUAUAUGUUUGCUCUUUUGCACGCUAAGUAUAAU